AGAUAAUAUGGGAGACACAUCCGCUCCGGGUUGUAAUUCCUCACCUGUUGUUCAUGGAUUUCUUCAAACUGCAGGACAGGUCAAUGAAAUGGGCCGGCACAUGGGCUGCUGUGUUUAUUCCAGUACCCUUAGGCUGGGGCCACCAAGGCUACUUUGGGGUGGCACUGAUGUUUUGAUGGAGCAUAAUGUUUGGUGGCACAGGUCCAUGGCAUGGAGGGUCCAUGGAAUGGGGCACAGCUGAUGAGCACAUGAAGGUGAGGGAAGGACACAGCAAUAGGAGCAUUCCCUUGACCUCCUGCCUCUAAACCUAACCCUUCUCAGGUUACCAAUAGCAUGGAAAAAGUCCCAGCUGGACAACCAAGGAGCCCAGCACACAGCUUCCCAUCUGCACACUGAGUAAGACAAGAAACAUGGCACCACCUUACACAGAUAAUGGACUUCCACAGCUCCGUAGAUGCUUUUACCAGCAGGUUUCGGAGAUCACCCCAAAGUUCUGGACCUUCUACUUGGCUGCUCAGCAUGGGUUUCUUGGAGUUGGCCUGACAAUGAUACAUGAAGGAUUUGAUUUUGCCUUCCUUUUACAUCUGGCUAAUACAACAAUAAUCCCCUUGGAGCCAUUGGAAUCACUGUAAGUGAGAAAAAAACUGAUCAAGCCAACAGACUCGUCUGUGAGCAACUACAUCUUCCAGGUAUCUGAGCUGAAGACUUUGAACAUCCAUCCCUGAACCUAAAUCAUAAAAUCAUAGAAUCAUUAAGGCUGGAAAAGACCUCCAAGUUCAUCUAGUCCAACCUCAACCCAUCCCCACUGUGCCCACUAACCAUGUCCUUCAGUGCCACAUCUCCACCAUUCUUGAACACCUCCAAGGGACAGCGACUCCAUCGCUUCCAUGGGCAGCCUGUGCCAAUAAAUAUCUCAUCUAGGGAUACGACCAUGGUUUUGGAAGCCUAAAUCUCUUCUCACUGCUCCUUCACAGCAUCCUCCCGCACAAGGAGGUUUGAUUGUAACCACUGAUGCUGGGUUUGUGUCCUCCAGAUGUAGCAAACAUGAAGGGAGAGGCGCAAAAAAUAAACAGAAAUAAGCAAAAAUUCUAAAAGCCCAAGAUGGACAGAGUGAAAAACAGAAAUGCCAAGUCCUAAUUGUUGCACAGAUGUGAGGAAUGUUAAGGGAAACUGUUUGGGGAUUUAUGUUCAAAAAAUAAGACAACUUCCCAAACCAUUUCCUUUCAAAUCUUUCAGCCUUCUCCAUAAAUUCCGUGAGCCUGUGUGGUGCUCUCUGAUAACACACAAAUCUGGAUACAUAAACUGUUUUGAAAUGUUUGUACAAUUUCAUCCAAAAAUAUGACCGUGUGUUUGUGUUUUAAUUGCCGUCAGUAGGACAUUGGGUAAUAGCCAUGUGCAUUGUGUCGGGGCGUUGGGUGAGAUGGGGUGGCACAAGCACAGCUUUUCCUGGUUCAUCACAGUGAGGAUAAACCCCAAAUCAUCUGAAGGAACAACCCACAACCAUCCACUGAAACCAAGAAAAUGAUUUCAGAUCCAUACGGAUGCAAUUGGAAUCAGAAAUUUGAUGAUUUCCAGGUCAGGCAUUAUAUUUUCGCCUCUCUUUGUGGGGGAAGACAGACACUUUGCUUCAAUCAGUGUUGUUUGCAAUGUCUUUCAUUUAUUAACAUUCUUGCUGAAGUCAAGCAUUAGUUCCACUUUAUCAUGAAUAUAAUGCAGCUGCAUUUUCUGGAUGGGAACACCACCAAAAAUAUGUUAACUGUAUAGUCAACAGCUAUGCCUUGUUUACUCUUAUGCAUAAAACCAUACGGAAACAACCCUCAUAGGAAAUCUCUUUUCUUUUUCUUUUUUCUUUUUUUUUUAUCUGUACACAAAUAAAAAUAAUAAGAAAGAAAUAAUAGGAAAU
ensembl:lncRNA